AUAAUUCUUUUUACCUAAAAAUACUCCUUAAGACGUCAAAAGAAAUACCAAAUUCCUUACUGAAACCUUGAUAUUUUCUUUUUCACCGUUCUUCUUUUCUUUCCCUCAUUCUUUCUCUAAAUCACUCUCUCUCUCUCUCUUUCUCUCUCUCUAAGUCUUGAAAAAGGGAAGAAUGGAAGUGUGGGGAAGAGUGGGAAGGGAAGACUUAUUUAUAGAAAUUUGAAACCGUUGGAUUCAUACAAAGUGGCAAAAUUCGGUGAAGAGAGAAGAAAAAGAU
rnacentral:lncRNA from 1 species